UGGGGAAUAUUGCACAAUGGGCGAAAGCCUGAUGCAGCAACGCCGCGUGAGUGAUGAAGGUCUUCGGAUUGUAAAGCUCUGUCUUUUGGGACGAUAAUGACGGUACCAAAGGAGGAAGCCACGGCUAACUACGUGCCAGCGCCGCGGUAAUACGUAGGUGGCGAGCGUUGUCCGGAUUUACUGGGCGUAAAGGGUGCGUAGGCGGAUGUUUAAGUGAGAUGUGAAAUACCCGGGCUUAACUUGGGUGCUGCAUUUCAAACUGGAUAUCUAGAGUGCAGGAGAGGAGAAUGGAAUUCCUAGUGUAGCGGUGAAAUGCGUAGAGAUUAGGAAGAACACCAGUGGCGAAGGCGAUUCUCUGGACUGUAACUGACGCUGAGGCACGAAAGCGUGGGUAGCAAACAGGAUUAGAUACCCUGGUAGUCC
rnacentral:rRNA from 1 species